CGGAGCAGCCGGGGCGGGGGUCACCGCGGAGGUCGCUGGGUCUCCGUGCUCGGCGCCCUCAGCGCCAGCGCACGGGGGUCUCCGCGGGCCCUGCCGGCAGCGAGGCCCUCGCCAGCAAGGCUGCCUCUGGGCGUUGGUGGGGGCCUCGGGCCAGGCCCGAGUCCCGGGACCCAGGGAGGGGAGUCCACAGUCGGUCACGGGCCAGGCGCUCGAAUGCCGUUAGAGAGAAAUCCAGCUCCCGUGGGCCCUAGACUUCUCGUGGGACCGCGUUCUUCAGAGGAGACCCCGAGCCAAGGACGCAGGGCAAACGAUUUCUUAAGAAGCCAGUGCUCCCGGAGACGGGGAGGCAGGCCGUGGCCGGGGAGCACAGCCCAGCCCCGCCUGAGCCCGAAGGAGCCCCAGGGGAUAACACAGCACAUUUGGCAAAUGCCGUGGAAAUCACGACAAUAACGGGCCCUCAUCCGCCGGGCCAAGGACCAUGACAAGAAAAGAAAAUGAGGGCCGUCCAUGGCGAAGUGAACCCUGGCUCAGUGUGGUCACAGGGCAGGAGGGGUGAGGACAGACGUGGCCGCUGGCUCUGCGGACGGACGGUGGGCCUCGGGCCAAGGAUGCCUCCAGGAGCUGGAAAAGGUGUGGAAAUGACUCCCCGGGGCCCUACCAGCGAGGCAGACCCUGACCUCCAGACCGCAAGGCAGUCACGGGCUGUGGCUCCAGGGCAGAAAGUUUGCAACAACUCCUCACAGUUGCUGCAGGGACCUCGUACGGGACCAGCCGCCGUCCCUGCAGGACGCCUCCCCCCCACCCCCCCACCCCGCCAGCCCCCUGGCCCGCCGCCCUCCCCGGGGCUCCCUGCAGGGCCCGCCCGCGCCCCAACUCAGGACUCAGCUGGAGGACGGACGAAGAGAGGAGCGGCCGCGUCACGGCUCCCCGCUCAGGCCUUAACUGACAGCAGGAAAACACACAUUUGCUGUGGUGACCUGUGCGGAGUUAGACGCUUGUGUUAUUUUAAUUAAGGCUUGUGACGGAUGAAUCUCAAUAAAGCAGCUGUUCUGGA